ensembl:lncRNA
UUUGAUUACAAUAGUUUCACUGGGUUUCAGCCUGUUGUUGAAUACACACACUUAAGAUGUGCAUUUAGUAAUCAAAUAACUUGAUUUAUGGACUGUGAGGAAAUUGCCGAAGUGAAGAGGGCUUGAAUCUAUCAGGACAGGAGGCGGAUUAAUAUUUGAUACUCCACACUGGCGACGUCAUGCAUUUGGCUUCGCUGCUCAAAACAACAGGACAUCAGUUGUACAGUCCCAGUCCGAACUGCCUGUGAUUACAGUAAACUCCGGCGUCGGUACAUUCCUGCUCUUCCUGGUUUUGUUUGCUGGGACCCGAGCGGGCUCGGGGACAGACUGGGGACAGACUGGCCCUAUCAGCACCGCCGGUCCAAACAUGCCCGCUGAUACCAAAACACAAAGUCUAGUCAUAACCAAACAGCCGGGGACCAGCAGGAAGGAAGCGAGCUCGGUCCGCGGAAGAGAAGGAGACGGCGUUCCGCCGCAUCAAUCGGUAACUUUCGAUGGUUUCAGGUGUCGAGGGUCACGCUUCAAAGGACUCGCUCGCACUCCAGAGGGUAAACAGUGACAUGGAUGUUUUGAAUAGCCGGCAUUCCUGGAGGCUUGCUCGCCAAGCUCAGAGAAACGGCUCCGGACCAGCAGACAUUCCUUCACAUCUGUAAUCCUUAAUACUACUCACUGGCAGGCCCGUACUGGACGGCGUACUUCACAUCAUGGUCUAGAUCUUCAUCGGUGUGCGGGCACACGUACGCUGGAUACGGUCUCUCCGUAAACAGCCACUGUCCUCUGCGCGACGCGGCGGAUCAAAAUCUUGAUUCGCCUUUCAGACACCUGACGAUGUUCAUCUGCAACCAGACGUUGUAAACAUGUAGCAGGUGAAUACGUGAUGGAUGGUGGCAGACCGGAGUCAAAGAGGACACAGGGAAAGUGUUUUUAUGCACGUCCACCGGGACCACAUACUGAGAUACUAGAAGUACUUAUCAUGAUGGAGCCAGACGUGUGGCUCUAAACAAUUAACUUUAGGAUAG